GCAGAGCCCACAGCUUGGUGCCUGGCUCCUCACAUUGUUUGGCGCUGAGAAGGUGCUCAUAAGUGCUUGUGGAUGGACAAGUGGAGGAAGAAACAGAGCACAGAUGCCAGAAACAACGAAAGGAGAAGAGGAAAAAAAAAAAAGCAGAGCCAAAGAGGAGCUAGGAGAUUCAUGGCAAAAGCUGACACACACAUGCUGCUAAUACUUGAAGGAUGGCUACAAGGAUUUUUAAAUGAUCCUCCCCAGGACCUCAUUGAGAAGGUGAUUCCAGGUUCUGUGAGGUGGAUUUUGGGUAUGGUUCAGGACUUAACCCUGAAAAGCAGGCUCCUGACCCAGGCUCUUGACCACCCCACACUUCUACCUCCUCCAUGUUGCAAGUAGGAAAACCAGGGAAAAGGCCCAAGUUUCCCAAGUAGAAUCAGCUAUGCCUACAAUCAUGGGCUCUUUCCUUUUCCAUUCCAAAGCUCUUCUCUUAGAAUUAAAAUUUUACUUUCCUCUAUCAGCCUGGCCAAAGCAGUCUGCUGGAGGCUUUACAUUCAUCUUGUCACACGGUUUUUAAAUAAUCUGCAGAAAUGGAAAGGAUUUCUAUUUUAUAUGUGGUGAUGCUGUAAUUACACAGCAAGAAAAAAAGGGGGAUUGAUCUCAUACCUGUUUCAUGCCAGAGUCCUUUCUCCUUCUUUCUUUCUAAGAAAAAAUAAAAUAAGGCUGGGAGGAGAUGACAGACUAAUACCAGCAAUAUUCUGUGGUCAAACAAGAGUUAAAAUAGGGUGCUGAAUUUACAUUGUAAAAAUGUGUUAAUGUAUUUGUUUAGCAUGAGGAACCUUAUCUAACUUCUGCAUUAGGUGUUAAACCAACAGGUAUUUUCCACGUGCUAUGCAAGGCUGGCAUCAGCAAGCAGUUGUGGCCAGAUCUAGCCUUUAAAAAGCUGCUUAAGUAGGAGAAGUGGGAAGGAUAGGGGAAAGGUAAUAAGGGAAAAGGAAAAAAAAACAUGAGAAAAUGGAAAUAAAGUAUCUCUAAAUAGGGAAGGGAGGAGGGGGUGAAGGGAGGGCAGGGAUAAGGGGGAAAAAUGAGAACCAAGACCUGUCAUGUAAAGGUACAAGAUCCCAGUGAUGAAUGUAAUGGUACUGUAUACCUAAA
rnacentral:lncRNA from 1 species